AGGAUAAACGCUGGCGGCGUGCCUAACACAUGCAAGUCGAACGCCCUACGCAAGUAGGGAGUGGCGGACGGGUGAGGAACACGUGGGUUAUCUGCCUUUCGGUGAGGAAUACCAGCGAGAAAUCGCUGACAAUACCGCAUACGGUUCUUUCGUAAGAGAGAACGAAAGUCGCAAGACGCCGGGAGAUGAGCCUGCGCCCGAUUAGUUAGUUGGUGGGGUAAAAGCCUACCAAGACUGCAAUCGGUAGCUGGUCUGAGAGGACGAUCAGCCACACUGGGAUUGAGAACGGCCCAGACUCCUACGGGGGGCAGCAGUGAGGAAUUUUCGUCAAUGGGGGGAAACCCUGAACGAGCAACGCCGCGUGCAGGAAGAAGGUUUUCGGAUCGUAAACUGUCUUUUCUGUGGGAAGAGAACGGACGGUACCACAGGAAGAAGCCCCGGCUAACACGCGCAGCAGCCGC
rnacentral:rRNA from 1 species